rnacentral:tRNA from 1 species
CAGGGAAUAGUUUAAUUAGAAUAUUAAUUUUGGAGAUUAAUGAUAAAGAUAAAUUUCUUUUUUCCUGA